UGGGAGGAGCUGUUGAAAGAGGAUCUGGUC
rnacentral:piRNA from 2 species